GCGCCCAUAGCUCAACGGAUAGAGCACCGGAUUUCUAAUCCGGUGGUUGCAGGUUCGAGUCCUGCUGGGCGCG
rnacentral:tRNA from 1 species